GUGCUUGCUUCAGCAGCGCAUAUACUAAAAUUGGAACGAUACCAAGAAGAUUAGCAUAGUCCCUGAGCAAGGGUGACACACAAUAAAUUAGGAGUUUGAGUUUAAC
rnacentral:snRNA from 1 species